GAUGAAGAACGUAGCGAAAUGCGAUAAGUAGUGUGAAUUGCAGAAUUCAGUGAAUCAUCGAAUCUUUGAACGCACAUUGCGCCUCCUGGCAUUCCGGGAGGCAUGCCUGUUCGAGCGUCAUCAAACCCCAUCGUGCAAAUGAAUUAUUUUCUUUGCGCGGAAGUGACGAUUGAGCGAGAAUAACAAAUCCUCUCGCACCUCGUCGAAAUGAUUGCGGGCGGAAUUUGGGAUCGGGUUCCUCGGCGUAGUGUAUCAAGGCAUAUUUAUGCAACUUGCCGCGGAGUUGAGCCUGACCCACGCGUUCUCGCCGUACAAACACCUCAUUACUUUACAAGUUUUUGACCUCGGAUCAGGUAGGGAUACCCGCUGAACUUAAGCAUAUCAAUAAGCGGAGGA
rnacentral:misc_RNA from 1 species